rnacentral:rRNA from 1 species
UACGGGGGGGGCAAGCGUUGUUCGGAAUUACUGGGCGUAAAGGGCUCGUAGGCGGCCUGCUAAGUCGAACGUGAAAUCCCCGGGCUCAACCCAGGAACUGCGUCCGAUACUGGUUGGCUUGAAUCCGGGAGAGGGAUGUGGAAUUCCAGGUGUAGCGGUGAAAUGCGUAGAUAUCUGGAGGAACACCGGUGGCGAAGGCGACAUCCUGGACCGGUAUUGACGCUGAGGCGCGAAAGCCAGGGGAGCAAACGGG